GUGUUGAGCCUGUUGCGGACAGAUAAAAUGAAUGUGGGUAUCAAUGCCGCCGGCGGUCGCGAUUAAGUGUGCACCGUUAUGCACUUCAGUGCUGGCGCCGAUAAUCAUAUUAGGGGUAACGUUAUCCAUUGUGUCCGGAUUGCCUGCUUGCCCGAUCCCAACAAUCACGCCGUCCCGAAUGCCAAUAUCCGCUUUGAUAAUCCCUUGCUUAGCAUCAAUAAUUACGACAUUGGUGAUGACAAAAUCCAAGACAUUUGGGUUAUCACGGGUCGCGGUGCUGGAUUGCCCCAUUCCGUCCCGAAUAC
rnacentral:sRNA from 1 species